rnacentral:rRNA from 1 species
GUCGAGAAUCUUUCACAAUGGGGGCAACCCUGAUGGAGCGACGCCGCGUGGAGGAUAAGGUCUUCGGAUUGUAAACUCCUGUCAUGCGUGAACAAGGUUGCUUGGUUAAUACCUGGGCAAAUUGAUGGUAACGCAAGAGGAAGAGACGGCUAACUCUGUGCCAGCAGCCGCGGUAAUACAGAGGUCUCAAGCGUUGUUCGGAAUCACUGGGCGUAAAGGGUGCGUAGGUGGCGUGGUAAGUCAGCUGUGAAAGCCCGGGGCUCAACCUCGGAACUGCAUCCGAUACUGCCAUGCUAGAGUACUGGAGAGGUGACUAGAAUUCUCGGUGUAGCAGUGAAAUGCGUAGAUAUCGAGAGGAAUACCAAAGGCGUAGGCAGGUCACUGGACAGUUACUGACACUGAGGCACGAAGGCCAGGGGAGCGAACGGGAUUAGAAACCCCGGUAGUCC